UGGGGAAUUAGCACAGUUCUAAUGCCAGU
rnacentral:piRNA from 1 species